GCAGUCGAGCGGAACGAUGUAGCUUGCUACAGGCGUCGAGCGGCGGACGGGUGAGUAACGCGUAGGAACCUACCUAGUAGUUUGGGAUAGCCCAGAGAAAUUUGGAUUAAUACCGAAUACGCCCCACGGGGGAAAGCGGAGGAUCUUCGGACUUCGCGCUAUUAGAUGGGCCUGCGUAAGAUUAGCUUGUUGGUGAGGUAAUGGCUCACCAAGGCAACGAUCUUUAGCUGGUUUGAGAGGAUGAUCAGCCACACUGGGACUGAGACACGGCCCAGACUCCUACGGGAGGCAGCAGUGGGGAAUAUUGCACAAUGGGCGAAAGCCUGAUGCAGCCAUACCGCGUGUGUGAAGAAGGCUCUAGGGUUGUAAAGCACUUUCAGUAGGGAGGAAAGGUUGUAGAUUAAUACUCUGCAGCUGUGACGUUACCUACAGAAGAAGGACCGGCUAACUCCGUGCCAGCAGCCGCGGUAAUACGGAGGGUCCGAGCGUUAAUCGGAAUUACUGGGCGUAAAGCGUACGUAGGUGGUUUGUUAAGUUGGAUGUGAAAGCCCAGGGCUCAACCUUGGAACUGCAUUCAAAACUGAUGAACUAGAAUAUGGUAGA
rnacentral:rRNA from 1 species